CCUACGGGGGUCAGCAGUGAGGAAUAUUGGUCAAUGGGCGAGAGCCUGAACCAGCCAAGUCGCGUGAAGGAUGACUGCCCUACGGGUUGUAAACUUCUUUUGUCAGGGAGCAAUUGGGUCCACGCGUGGGCUUAGCGAGAGUACCUGAAGAAAAAGCAUCGGCUAACUCCGUGCCAGCAGCCGCGGUAAUACGGAGGAUGCGAGCGUUAUCCGGAUUGAUUGGGUUUAAAGGGUGCGUAGGCGGAAUAUCAAGUCAGCGGUAAAAAUUCGGGGCUCAACCCCGUCGUGCCGUUGAAACUGGUUUUCUUGAGUGAGCGAGAAGUAUGCGGAAUGCGUGGUGUAGCGGUGAAAUGCAUAGAUAUCACGCAGAACUCCGAUUGCGAAGGCAGCAUACCGGCGGCGAUCUGACGCUGAGGCACGAAAGCGUGGGUAUCGAACAGGAUUAGAUACCCGGGUAGUC
rnacentral:rRNA from 1 species